rnacentral:lncRNA from 1 species
GGGGGGGGAUUUGUUUUGUUUGUUUUAAAGAUCUAUUUAUAUUUUACUUCCAUCUGUGUCUGUGCAUCAUGUAUGAGCAUUGCCCCCAGAAGGCAGAAGAGGGCAUCCAGUCCUCUGGAACUGGAAUUACAGAUGGUUGUGAGCAUGCUAGAAAAAGUGAACCCAGGUCUUCUACAGGAGCAACCAAUGCCCUUAACUGCUGAACACGGUCCAGCGCCUUAAGCCUGUUUUUAAUCUUCGGCUUUCGUAGUUGGCUCUUCAGGGAUGCAUGGCACACUCAGAUGUACACUGAGCAAAAUGUGCUCUGGGAGGUAGAAUGAAGAAUCUGGCCUCACAUGUCUUUUCUUCUUCUCGUUCAUGAAGUAGUCAUGCUAGAGUCGUGGUUUGUUGUUGUUGGUUGUUUUUUAAUUGUGAGGAUUAGUGAUAGUGUGUGCCUGUGCACAACCAUACACAUGUGUAUAUGUGUUUAAAACUGUUUAUAACUUUUCUCUGAAUGUCAGGUCUUCACUUACAAACUCAGUGUGUGUGUGUGUGUGUGUGUGUGUGUGUGUGUGUAUGGACAUGGAUAUGUGUGUGCUUGUAUGUUGAUAUCUUGCUUACUCUGGGUUCUCCCAGGGAGGGCACAGCAUCUGCUCCUGCUUACCCCUGGCUCACUUCCUCCACCUUCGUGCCCACCACAGGCCUUUUGCACACACUGAGUACUCAGUGUCUAUUUGGAAUAAUUUCCAAAACUAGCUAAGUUCUUGUCUCUUCUUGUGGCCUCAUGAUCAGUUAUCACUUUAUCUCCUUCCAUGUUUUAAAAAACAUACUUAACAGAAAGAAAGAGAGAGAAAGAAAGGAAAGGGAGGGAGAAAAGGGAGGGAGGGAGGGAGAGAAAGAGAGAAAGAAACACAGAGAGAGAGAAACAGAGAGAGAAACAAAGAAAGAAGAGAUUCUACAUAUAGGAGAAUUUCUAAUAGAACAGGUACUAGAAGAAGCGGCUGCAUGCCCCUGCUGUCUUGGACAACUGUUUGCAUAUUCCAGAACACACACGUGCAACUUUCUCUCUCAGCUGCUUUCCUGGACAGUGUUGAUCUUGCAGAGGCUAAGGGGAUAUUGAGCAAGUUUCCCCCCUUAACAAACACUCCUAACACUGAUAUUCUCAAGAGUCACCUCAAUGGCCAUGUGUGCAGAGGCCUCUGGCUCUCAGGAAUUCCUUUGACCCAGGUCUGGGACCUCAACUGUAGGUGGUAAUGUUGGUUGUAGGGAGAGGGGCAGUCACAGCCAGAGAUUUCAAGACCAGGAAUAAGAAGGUUCUUGAAUAAAUCAUUGCUUGCUCCUGAUAACAAAAUCAUAACUGAGGUUACUGAGGAUAUUUUGAAGGCAGCUUCACCGUUUAUGCCUAGGACAUAAAGUUUUAAUGCCCCUUUAUAUAUGCCUAGGGACAAUAGGGAAUGAAUUUGACUGUAACCUAACCCAUUCUCCUCAUAUCUGUUAAAACCCUGUGUAAGAAAGAGUGUUGGCACUGCCAGGAUUGGUGGAAAGUGGCACAUUGCAGUGUAUGCUUCUUGCCUGUCAGUUCAGUCCUAAGGACUGGCAGAGUGUGUGCUCCAUUCUUUAAAAGUCCCUCAUGGUCAUGUGUUGAAGGCUGUUCUCUAGGUUUGAAAGAAAUGUGAGGGUUGCUUGGGUUAGUGAGGUCCCUGGUCACUGGAGUGUAUCUUAACUGAAUCAUAUGUGCAGCUGUCAUGUUCAUGACCUUUUUGGUACUUGUAAAACCUGACCCUUGCUCACAACUGGAAAUUUAGAGAAAGAAAAAAACCCCAAGAACACAAAGAAAGAAAGAAAGAAAGAAAGAAAGAAAGAAAG